AGCAGCCGCGGUAAUUCCAGCUCCAAUAGCGUAUAUUAAAGUUGUUGCAGUUAAAAAGCUCGUAGUCGAACUUCGGGUCUGGCCGGGCGGUCCAUCCUUUCGGGUGCGCACUGCUCACGGGCCGGUCCUUUCCUUCUGGGGAACCGCUUCGACGCCUUUGCGGGCGCCGUUGCCGGGGAGCCAGGACGUUUACCUUGAAAAAAUUAGAGUGUUCAAAGCGGGCAUAUGCUCGAAUAGAUUAGCAUGGAAUAAUGGAAUAGGACCUUGGUCUUAUUUUGUUGGUUUUCGAAGGCCACGGUA
rnacentral:rRNA from 1 species